rnacentral:rRNA from 1 species
GGAAUCUUGCGCAAUGGGCGAAAGCCUGACGCAGCCAUGCCGCGUGAAUGAUGAAGGUCUUAGGAUUGUAAAAUUCUUUCACCGGGGACGAUAAUGACGGUACCCGGAGAAGAAGCCCCGGCUAACUUCGUGCCAGCAGCCGCGGUAAUACGAAGGGGGCUAGCGUUGCUCGGAAUUACUGGGCGUAAAGGGCGCGUAGGCGGAUCGUUAAGUCAGAGGUGAAAUCCCAGGGCUCAACCCUGGAACUGCCUUUGAUACUGGCGAUCUUGAGUAUGAGAGAGGUAUGUGGAACUCCGAGUGUAGAGGUGAAAUUCGUAGAUAUUCGGAAGAACACCAGUGGCGAAGGCGACAUACUGGCUCAUUACUGACGCUGAGGCGCGAAAGCGUGGGGAGCAAACAG